CAGCAGACACAUUCCAGCCAAUCAGCAGCAGACCCUCCCUCCCAGAUCCUCUCACCUCCUGGACAGCAUCCAUUGUGAAGCUGCAUUCUUAGUGAGCUGUCCAGGAGGUGGGAGGGUCUGGGAGGGAGGGUCUGCUGCUGAUUGGCUGGAAUGUGUCUGCUG